UACGUAGGGGGCAAGCGUUGUCCGGAAUCAUUGGGCGUAAAGGAGCGUGUAGGCGGUUCGGUAAGUCGGCUGUGAAAGUCCAGGGCUCAACCCUGGGAAUGCCGGUCGAUAACUGCCGGACUAGAGUUCGGAAGAGGCGAGUGGAAUUCUCGGUGUAGCGGUGAAAUGCGUAGAUAUCGAGAGGAACACCUGCGGCGAAGGCGGGUAGCUGGGCCGACACUGACGCUGAUGCGCGAAAGCCAGGGGAGGCGAACGGG
rnacentral:rRNA from 1 species